rnacentral:rRNA from 1 species
UACGUAGGGUGCAAGCGUUGUCCGGAAUUAUUGGGCGUAAAGAGCUCGUAGGCGGUUUGUCGCGUCGAAUGUGAAAACCCGGGGCUCAACCCCGGGCCUGCAUUCGAUACGGGCAGACUAGAGUUCGGUAGGGGGAGUCUGGAAUUCCUGGUGUAGCGGUGAAAUGCGCAGAUAUCGGGAGGAACACCCGUAGCGAAGGCGGCACUCUGGGCCGUGACUGACGCUGAGGAGCGAAAGCGUGGGGAGCGAACAGG